rnacentral:rRNA from 1 species
UCUUUCCUACGGGGCGCAGCAGUGGGGAAUAUUGGGCAAUGGGCGCAAGCCUGACCCAGCAACGCCGCGUGAAGGAAGAAGGCUUUCGGGUUGUAAACUUCUUUUGACAGGGAAGAGUAGAAGACGGUACCUGUCGAAUAAGCCACGGCUAACUACGUGCCAGCAGCCGCGGUAAUACGUAGGUGGCAAGCGUUGUCCGGAUUUACUGGGUGUAAAGGGCGUGCAGCCGGGAAGACAAGUCAGAUGUGAAAUCCCGCGGCUCAACCGCGGAACUGCAUUUGAAACUGUUUUUCUUGAGUACCGGA